rnacentral:rRNA from 1 species
AGAGUUUGAUCCUGGCUCAGAACGAACGCUGGCGGCGUGCCUAAUACAUGCAAGUCGAGCGAGAAAAGGGGGGCAACUCCCUGAGUACAGCGGCGCACGGGUGAGUAACACGUAGGUAACCUAUCCUUGAGCCCGGAAUAACCUACCGAAAGGUGGGCUAAUACCGGAUAUGACCACGGGAGUUUCGGCUCUUGCGGUGAAAGAUGGCCUCUGCUUGCAAGCUAUCACUCGAAGAGGGGCCUGCGCGCCAUUAGCUAGUUGGCGGGGUAAUGGCCCACCAAGGCUCUGAUGGCUAGCUGGUCUGAGAGGAUGGCCAGCCACACUGGGACUGAAACACGGCCCAGACUCCUACGGGAGGCAGCAGUAGGGAAUAUUGCGCAAUGGGCGAAAGCCUGACGCAGCGACGCCGCGUGGGUGAUGAAGGCCUUCGGGUCGUAAAGCCCUGUCGAGGGGGACGAACCGAUCGCGACCGAAUACGUCGCGAUUCUGACGGUACCCCUAAAGGAAGCACCGGCUAACUCCGUGCCAGCAGCCGCGGUAAUACGGAGGGUGCGAGCGUUGUUCGGAAUCACUGGGCGUAAAGCGCGUGUAGGCGGCCCGCUAAGUCUGAUGUGAAAGCCCGAGGCUCACCCUCGGAAGUGCAUUGGAAACUGGCGGACUGGAGUCCCGGAGAGGAGGGUGGAAUUCCUGGUGUAGCGGUGAAAUGCGUAGAUAUCAGGAGGAACACCGGUGGCGAAGGCGGCCCUCUGGACGGUGACUGACGCUGAGACGCGAAAGCGUGGGGAGCAAACAGGAUUAGAUACCCUAGUAGUCC